rnacentral:rRNA from 1 species
ACUCCUGCCGAUGGAUAUCUUGGCUCUCGCAACGAUGAAGAACGCAGCGAAAUGCGAUACGUAGUGCGAAUUGCAGAAUUCAGUGAAUCAUCGAACCUUUGAACGCAAAUGGCGCAUCCGGGCUCCGCUCGGACGCAUGUCUCUUCGAGGGGCGCCUCCAUCCUCCUCGGAGCGAGAGAGCUCUCUCUCUCGUCUCCGGAGCCGGCGGCCGCGCGGGGGAGCCUCGGCUCCCCCGCGCGCCCGCCCAAGGCUGCCUUGCGAGCGCGGCGGCGGCGUCUAACCCGCGUCCCCGCCGGAGUGCUAAGUCCACGACUAGACCUCCGGCGGACGCGUGCCCCGUUCUGCCUCGCGACCCCACGCGUGCGCGGUUCCUCUCCUCUCCUUUCGGAGAGCGAGGCCUGCCCGCCCCGGCGCGCGGCCGCUCUCUGUGCGGCCGCGCGCCUCGAAACCCGCCAUCGAAUGAGGCAAGACUACCCGCUGAACUUAAGCAUAUCACUAAGCGGAGGAGAAGAAACUAACCAGGAUGCCCCUAGUAAUGGCGAAUGAAGCGGGCUGAGCUCACGCUGCCAAUCUGGAGGCCUCGCGUAUGCAGCGCCCCCCGAAUUGUGGUCUAGAGAGGCGUUAUCGGCCGCGCCCGCCGCUCAAGUCCCUUGGAACAGGGUGUCGGAGAGGGUGAGAAUCCCGUACCGUGGCGGGUUGCGGCCUUACGAUGCGUCCUCGUCGAGUCGGGUUGCUUGGGAUUGCAGCUUGAAUUGGGUGGUAAAUUCCAUCUAAAGCUAAAUACUGGCGAGAGACCGAUAGCGAACAAGUACCGUGAGGGAAAGAUGCAAAGAACUUUGAAAAGAGAGUCAAAGAGUGCUUGAAAUCGGUAGGAGGAAACCCGGAUGGGCCCGGCUUCGGCGCGCCGACUCAGCCUGGGGUUCUCCCCAGGUGCACUUCUGCGCGCCGGGUCAGCCGCGCCUCGGCGCCGCGCCUCAACCCGGGAGCGGGGCUUUACGGCCAGCUCCCGUCCUGGCGCGGCCCGGGGCCCGGCUGACGGAACGGGCCCCUCCGACCCGUCUAGAAACACGGACCAAGGAGUCUGACACGUGUGCGAGUACCCGGGUGGCAAGCCCGCGUGCGGAAUGAAAGUGAAGGGCAUGCCCUGCCAACCGACCUUGACCUGCUGUGAGGGGUUUGAGUGGAGCACACCUGUCGGGACCCGAAAGAUGGUGAACUAUGCCUGGGUAGGGUGAAGCCAGAGGAAACUCUGGUGGAGGCUCGUAGCGAUACUGACGUGCAAAUCGUUCGUCGAAUCUGGGUAUAGGGGCGAAAGACUAAUCGAACCAUCUAGUAGCUGGUUCCCUCCGAAGUUUCCCUCAGGAUAGCUUGAACGCAACGGUUUUGUCAGGUAAAGCGAAUGAUUAGAGGCCUGUGGGCUGAAACAGCUUGCACCUAUUCUCAAACUUUAAAUGGGCAAGAGGCCCGGGAUGCUUGAGUGAUCCCGGGCGGCGAACGGCGCGUUCAAAGUGGGCCAUUUUUGGUAAGCAGAACUGGCGAUGCGGGAUGAACCGAACGCCGCGCUAAGGUACCCAAGUGUCCGCUCAUCAGAUACCACAAAAGGCGUUGGUACCUCCAGACAGCAGGACGGUGGCCAUGGAAGUCGGAACCCGCUAAGGAGUGUGUAACAACUCACCUGCCGAAGGUACUAGCCCUGAAAAUGGAUGGCGCUCAAGCGGACCACCGAUGCGCGGCCGCCGGCGCGAGCGCGAGGCGCCGGCGAGUAGGAGGGCGCGGGGCUCGCGGCGCAGCCUUGGGCGCGAGCCUGGGUGAAGCGGGCCCCGGUGCAGAUCUUGGUGGUAGUAGCAAAUAUUCAAAUGAGAACUUUGAAGACUGAAGUGGAGAAAGGUUCCGUGUGAACAGCAGUUGGACACGGGUGAGCCGACCCUAAGAGACAGGAAAACUCCGCCGAACGCGGCUGGUUCUGUCAGCCCGUCCGUCGAAAGGGAAUCGGGUUAAUAUUCCCGAGCCAGCGCGUGGAUGGUGGGCGGCGACGCGAACGAACCCGGAGACGCCGGCGGGAGCCCUGGGAAGAGUUCUCUUUUCUUCUUAACUGCCUCCUGCCCUGGAAUCGGUUUAGCCGGAGCGAGGGCUACACGGCAGGCAAAGCACCCUAAGUCUUGGGGUGUCCGGCGCGCUCCCGACGGCCCGUGAAAAUCCGGGGGAGCGGUUCGUUCUCACGCCUGGUCGUACUCAUAACCGCAUCAGGUCUCCAAGGUGAACAGCCUCUAGUCGAUAGAGCAAUGUAGGUAAGGGAAGUCGGCAAAAUGGUUCCGCAACCUCGGGAGAAGGAAUGGCUCUGAAGGCUGGGCGCAGGGGUCCUAGGCUCGAGGCCGGCUGGCUGCGCGGGGACUACGGCCUCACGGCUGCGGAUCCCGCGCGGCCGUCCGGCGGACGGCCUAGGAGCGCUCCGGCUCUCCCUGCGCGACGAACAGCCGCUUCAGAACUGGCGCGGACAAGGGGAAUCCGACUGUUUAAUUAAAACAAAGCAUUGCGAUGGCCCGCGAGGGUGCUGACGCAAUGUGAUUUCUGCCCAGUGCUCUGAAUGUCAAAGUGAAGAAAUUCAACCAAGCGCGGGUAAACGGCGGGAGUAACUAUGACUCUCUUAAGGUAGCCAAAUGCCUCGUCAUCCAAUUAGUGACGCGCAUGAAUGGAUUCGUGAGAUUCCCACUGUCCCUAUCUACUGUCUAGCGAAACCACAGCCAAGGGAACGGGCUUGGAAGAAUCAGCGGGGAAAGAAGACCCUGUUGAGCUUGACUCUAGUCUGUUACUGUGGAACGACUUGAUGGGUGUAGAAUAUGCGGGAGGGGCAACCCGACAGUGAAAUACCGCAACCGUCAACGUUGUUUUACUUACUCGGUGGCGCGGAGGGAGGCUCGCCUCACUUCUGGAUCCAAGCCGCUUCGUGCGCGCGAUCCGCGUCGGGGACACUAACAGGUGGGGAGUUUGGCUGGGGCGGCACGUCUGUUAAAAAAUAACGCAGGCGCCCGAUUUUGAGCUCAAUGAGAACAGAAAUCUCAUGUGGACCGAAAGGGGAAAAGCUCGGUUGAUUUUGAUUUUCAGUACGAAUACAAACCGCGAAAGCGUGGCCUAUCGAUCCUCUCGUCUUUGGGAAUUUCAAGCUAGAGGUGUCAGAAAAGUUACCACAGGGAUAACUGGCUUGUGGCUGCCAAGCGUUCAUAGCGACGUAGCUUUUUGAUCCUUCGAUGUCGGCUCUUCCUAUCACUGCCUCGCAGCGGGGGCCAAAUGCAGGAUUGUUCACCCACCAACAGGGAACGUGAGCUGGGUUUAGACCGUCGUGAGACAGGUUAGUUUUACCCUACUGCUGUCUGUUUUUCUACGGUAAUUUGGUUCAGUACGAGAGGAACCACCAAUUCGCAUCAUCGGUAUAGCCGCCGCCGGAAACGGCGAUGCGGCGAAGCUGCCAUGCGCCGGAUUAUAACUGAACGCCUCUAAGUUAGAAUCCAUGCCGGAAGGAAAGCCACCUACCGGCCCGGGGACGCCACGAGCAACGGUAGCACUGCCUGAGCCGCGAGCGACCACAAUUCACGGACCCGGGCCGACGAAUCCCUUGCAGACGACUUGAAUAAGGAACGGGGUAUUGUACGCGGCAGAGUGGCCUUGUUGCCACGAUCCGCUGAGAUUCAGCCUUGGUUCUGACGAUUUGUUGCGCGCGCGCAACAACCCUCGCUCGGAGCCGCGCCAGGGCAUCUCCCGUUCCUCAGUCGCUCUCUCGGCGCUCUCCCCCUCUCGCCUCUCCUCCGAGCCUCAAACGCUCGGGGGCGGAGCCGAGGGGGGUGAGAGCCGAUUUCUGCCCAAGGCAGCGCGCAGGCCACUGCGCAGAUACACCCGGCUCUCCCCGAGCCGCCACUGGGCGCUCCCGCGGUCCCCUCCGGGCUGAAUGCGGCCUCCGGAGCGGGCGGCGCGAGCGUCUAAGUCUACUCAGAGCCUUCCACGCUCUUCUUUGCGUUCCGAAGCACACACCGCGCUCCUCUGUAGUGCAUCGCCCGGCCAACUCGCUUGCCGCUGUCAUUCGAUUGCCCCACCGCCCUCGCCACCGCCCUCGCCACCGCCCUCACCCCCCAUGCCGCCGCUACCAUUCGUUGUUGCAGCUGCAAUCCCCACCGAAGGCGGACGCCGGUGCCGCCCCCUCCCUGCGCCCUCGACGCCCCCUUCGCAGCCGUCUCUUCCGCCGUCGCCUCCGCCCUCACCGCCCCGCCGCCGUUGCCGCCGCCCUCGCCGCCCGUGCUCUCGCCGUCGCCGUCGAGCCCGCCGCCCUCCUACGCUACCCCCCCCCCCCCCGCCCUCACCGCCGCCCUCGCCGCCGCCACCCUCGCCGCCGCCGCCCUCGCCACCGCCUCCCUCGCCGCCGCCGCCCUCCAGCAUGCCGCCGCUCUCGCCCUCUCCCCCUCCCAAGGCAGCGCGCAGGCCACUGCGCAGACACACCCGGCCCUCUCCGAGCCGCCACGGGGGGCACUCCCGCGGUCCCCUCCGGGCUGAAUGCGGCCUCCGGAGCGGGCGGCGCAACCGCAAGCGUCUCUCUCUACUCAGAGCCUUCCAUGCUCUUCUUUGCGUUCCGAUGCGAAGCAUGCACUGCACUCCUCUAGCAUCACCCACAAGUCACCUCCGUUGCCACUGUCCUUGGACCUUGCGCACUUUGGCCGAGGCGUCGCCAGGCACGCACGCCGCUCCCUCCAACCCCGUGUCGGCCUGCCGUCGCCCUCGCCUCCAGCCGUCCCGCCUCACCUCCACCGCCCUCCUCACCACCGUCUCCACCGCCGCUGCUCUCACCACCCUCGCCACCACCACCAUGCCCGCCUCCCUCGCUGCCACCCACGCCGCCGCCACCGGCCCACCGCCCCCACCCCCUCCGCUGCCCUCGCCCUUGCCGUCACCGCGCCGCGAGAUCUCUUACACUAUCCCCCGCCCUUGCCGCCGCGCCCUUGCCGCCGCCCUCGCCGCCGCCCUCGCUGCCGCCUCCCGCCUCGGUCGCCGCGCCGCCCUCACCCCCGCCCCCCCUCGGCCUGCUGCCACUCUCACCACCCCUCGCCCUCGGCCCUCGCCGCCGCCGCCCUCCUCGCCGCCGGGGCCCGCCCUCGCAGCCACGGCACCCUUGCCCCCUCCCCCCUCCCCCCUCCCGCCCUGCCACCACCCUCCCCUCGGCCGCCCUCCGGCAUGCCGCCGUUCUGGCCCUCGCCUCCAGCCGCCCCGCUGCCCUCACCACUGCCCCCGUCGCCGCCACCCCUGUCACCGCCGCCCUCGCCGCCGCCCUACCCCCCUUGCCGUCUCCACCACCGUCAUCCCCACCACCAUCUUCCGCCCCUUCUUUCUCGCUCCUCACCCCACGAACCCACGAACCAUCACCACCGCCCUCGCCCCCGUCCCCACCGCCCCCAGGCCUGCCGCCGUUCUCGCCCUCCCCACCCACCACCCUGGCAGCUCAUGUUCAUGUACCGAGAGGGCUCCGUGUACCGGUUUUUGCUUGU